rnacentral:rRNA from 1 species
GUGCAGCAGUCGCGAAAACUUCACACUGUGCGAAAGCACGAUGAGGGAAUCCCAAGUGCUUGCACGUAAGUGUAAGCUGUUUCUCUGUCUAAAACGCAGAGAGAGUAAGGGCUGGGUAAGACGGGUGCCAGCCGCCGCGGUAAUACCUGCAGCUCAAGUGGUGACCGUUAUUAUUGGGCCUAAAACGUCCGUAGCCGGUUUAAUAAAUGCCUGGGUAAAUUGUGUAGCUUAACUAUACGAAUUCCGGGUAGACUGUUAAACUUGAGACCGGGAGAAGUUAGAGGUACUCCUGGGGUAGAGGUGAAAUUCUGUAAUCCUAGGGGGACCACCAGUGGCGAAGGCGUCCAACUAGAACGGGUCUGACGGUGAGGGACGAAGCCCUGGGGCGCAAACGGGAUUAGAUACCCCGGUAGU